AUGGAAGCGGACGCGCUGCUGGAGAAGAUACGGGUGCUGGAGGAGGGCCAGGCCGAGCUCAAGCGGGAGAUAGGCAAGCUCACGACGGACCGCCGCGACGCCGACGCCGGGCGCCGCGCUUUCCGCGCGCUGCCGCCGCAGCCGCAGCCGCGACGCGUCGUCGCCCGCAGCGGCGGCGGGUUGGCCAGCAGGCACUGCCACUGGAAGUGGGUACUGCAGUCGCUGGGGCAGGCCGUGCACGUCAUUGGCACCGACGACAAGUUCUUGUACUGGAACCGGUAUGCUGAGCAUUUGUUUGGCUAUUCUGCAUCAGAAGCAGUUGGUCAGAAUGCCGUUGAAUUAAUUGUUCAUCCUACUGACUACAAUUCAGCAAAAAUCGUCAUCCAGACUAUAUUUACAGGGAAGUGCUGGAGAGGGAAGUUUCCUGUUAAGAACAAGUCAGGAGACAGGUUUUUUAUUCUUGGCCAGAACACCCUUUUAUACGAUGACGAUGGUAGCUUGGUGGGCCUCAUUGGUAUCUCGCAUGAUUUACGGACAUUAGAGGAGAUAUGUAGUCCCUCAGGUUCAGCGGAAUCCUAUCCAAGUACAGCAAGGCUCAAGUUCCAUGCUAACAACCAGCCUAAAAGUGGUUCACUAAACAAAGGUUCUCUUCAAUCUUCUACGACCUCCAAGAUAGUAACUUUGUAUUCUUUUCUUGAUGUUCAGGUUACCAGUGUUACAAGUAGAGUUUGUUCUCGGACAAGGACGUGUCAGGAUAGCGACAAACAGUAUGGUAGUGGCUCUGAGGGACAGUAUUCUGAACUUGAUCUCCAGGACGAGCUGGUAUCAAGUGAAGAAAACACCGCUGGUGGGGAUGUAAUGCAUCGUGCCUUUGUGGCCGAAGAGAAAUCCCCUGGUGAGUUGUACAAAACAAUUAGUGAUGAUUCAGGAGAAGGAAAAGUAGGAUUUCACAAGAUUUUAAAUUCGAAGGCUGAGGCAUUGUUGGCCAAGAUGGGCAUAUCAUGGCCUUGGAAAGGCCAUGAAAUUCAUGGGGGUUCUGGGAAUAAUAACGUGAACUCAAUACAGUUGCAUGAUAAGCCAGAGAAUGACCAGACCUUUCAGAGAGUUCCAGUUCUAGAGCCUAUCAUAAUUCCAGGCUGCCAAGACAGCGAAUACAAUCGGGCUUGCAAAUAUGAGGUCUCAGGUUCCUGGUGGGAUUGCAACAAGGACUGUGCGAGUAGCAUGAGCAGCACUUGGAGUACUAAUAGCAGCAGUAUUGAUUAUGAAGCAGACUACUUAGAUUAUGAGGUUUUCUGGGAAGACCUAGUAAUUGGAGAACAAGUAGGUCAAGGUUGAUGCGGAACAGUGUAUCAUGCUUUGUGGCAUGGCUCGGACGUGGCAGCUAAAGUAUUCUCCAAGCAGGAAUAUUCAGAAGAAAUGAUGACUACCUUCAGACAAGAGGUAUCAUUGAUGAAGAAACUACGACAUCCCAAUAUAAUACUUUUCAUGGGUGCAGUUGUGUCGCAGCAACCACUUUGUAUUGUUACUGAAUUUCUCCCACGCGGGAGUUUGUUCCGGUUGCUCCAAAAUAACAUUGGCAAGCUGGAUCCAAGGCGGAGAGUUAACAUGGCUAUAGAUAUUGCAAGGGGCAUGAACUAUCUUCACAAUUCCAUCCCCACUAUUGUGCACCGUGAUUUGAAAUCGCCAAACCUGCUGGUUGAUAAGAAUUGGAAUGUAAAGGUUGCGGACUUUGGUCUUUCACGUCUGAAACUUGAAACAUUUCUGACAACAAAAACUGGAAAGGGAACAGUAACCAGCCCCAGUGGAUGGGUGUUGCGGAGUGAACCUUCAAAUGAAAAGUCUGAUGUAUUCAGCUAUGGAGUGGUCCUAUGGGAGCUUGUUACUCAGAAGAUUCCCUGGGAUACGCGCAAUACAAUGCAGGUUGUCGGAGCCGUGGGUUUCAUGGAUGGCAGACUUGAAAUUCCAGGGGACACGGAUCCUCAGUGGGCAUCGAUGAUCCAGAGUUGUUGGGACAGUGACCCGCAACGCCGCCCUUCGUUCCAAGAACUCCUUGAGAGGCUCCAGGUGCUACAAAAGCAGUACACUGUUGAAGCGCAAAUGGAGCGAAAAAGGGCUGGGAAAGGUGCUGGAAAGAUGAGCGCCAAAGAUGAGAGCUAG
rnacentral:rRNA from 1 species